rnacentral:rRNA from 1 species
UGGAAGCAUAGCGAUAUGUGCAGCUGACGAAUACUAAUCGAUCGAAGACUUAAUCAAAUU